UUAAAUUGAAGAGUUUGAUCAUGGCUCAGAUUGAACGCUGGCGGCAGGCCUAACACAUGCAAGUCGAACGGUAGCACAGAGAGCUUGCUCUCGGGUG
rnacentral:rRNA from 2 species